rnacentral:rRNA from 2 species
GCGGUCCGGCCGGGAACUCAAAGGAGACUGCCAGUGAUAAACUGGAGGAAGGUGGGGAUGACGUCAAGUCAUCAUGGCCCUUACGACCAGGGCUACACACGUGCUACAAUGGCGCAUACAAAGAGAAGCGACCUCGCGAGAGCAAGCGGACCUCAUAAAGUGCGUCGUAGUCCGGAUUGGAGUCUGCAACUCGACUCCAUGAAGUCGGAAUCGCUAGUAAUCGUGGAUCAGAAUGCCACGGUGAAUACGUUCCCGGGCCUUGUACACACCGCCCGUCACACCAUGGGAGUGGGUUGCAAAAGAAGUAGGUAGCUUAACCUUCGGGAGGGCGCUUACCACUUUGUGAUUCAUGACUGGGGUGAAGUCGUAACAAGGUAACCGUAGGGGAACCUGCGGUUGGAUCACCUCCUUACCUUAAAGAAGC